GUUCCUUUAAUUUUAAUGUCAAUUUUUUAUUUAUAAAACUAAUACAAAAAUAUUUAAACAAUUAAGUAAACUGUACAACAGUUUUUGACGGCAAUGAUUUAAAUUGAGUUGUGCUAUUUAUUCAUAUUCGUGGAUCUCAAGCUUAUAAAAAUACACAAAGUUUACAAUAUGAAGAUGCACUAGUGCGCUUUGAAAUGCCUUGCAUCUGUUAAUGAUCGCUUCACAAGGAAAUUUGGGUUGCCUCUGCCCAAUAGCUGAAUAUCCUCAAAACUAGAAACAAAAUCUCUUAUGAAAUCGAUAAAGAGAAGGACCAGCAUCUUCAAAAAAAUAUCAGUCAACUGUUAUACGAUAAUGUUAAUUAAAUGAAAAAUAAAGAAAAUAAUUUACCUUUUCUGUCCGCCAUUGAAUCAAAAAAACACCAAGGAGCAUCUGGUCCAGAGCCUGUUUUCACAAAUGCUACGUAAUGAGAAGUUUCUAUGCA